rnacentral:rRNA from 1 species
GACAGCUGUUGCAUGGCUGUCGUCAGCUCGUGACGUGAGUUGUUCUCUUAAGUGAGGUAACGAGCGCAACCCCCAUUCUGUGUUACUAUGUCACAGAAGACUGCCCAGCAUUAUUUUGUUGGGAGGAAGGAGGGGACGACGUCAAGUCAUCAUGAUGCUUAUAUCCGGGGCUACACACAUCCUACAAUGGGUGGUACAGAGGGUCGCAAUACCGCGAGGUGGAGCUAAUCCUUAAAACCUCCCUCAGUUGGGAUUGCAGGCUGAAACUCGCCUGCAUGAACUUGGAAUUGGUAGUAAUCGCAAAUCAGCAGAUUGCGGUGAAUACGUUCUCGCCUCUU